rnacentral:misc_RNA from 1 species
AACCUUAUGGACCUGCGGGCGUAUACCUGCGGAGGGAUCAUUACAAGUGACCCCGGUCUAACCACCGGGAUGUUCAUAACCCUUUGUUGUCCGACUCUGUUGCCUCCGGGGCGACCCUGCCUUCGGGCGGGGGCUCCGGGUGGACACUUCAAACUCUUGCGUAACCUUGCAGUCUGAGUAAACUUAAUUAAUAAAUUAAAACUUUCAGCAACGGAUCU